GGAAUACUUAGAGAUUUCAUCGUAGAAUGGCGUGGUUAUAUUCAUUUGCUCUUUGACUAAAAUGUUUAGCUGUAUUAUUGCUAAACAUGCCGUUUUUGAGAAUUUGGUUUUCAACUAGGUUUCAACAUCCAAUCACGCCAUCAGGUCAUUGAAAACAUUAGGUCACGCCAGCUAGUUUCCUAUCCAUUUAUUUUAUUAUCCAUGGUGAAAUCCACCUAUAUACAGGCAGGAACGCGGUACCAAAUCUAUAUUUAUCAACUCAACUCAACUCAAUUUAUUUUGCCAUAAAAAAAAGAAAUUUUUUAUUAAACAAUUUAUCGAAUUAGGGACAAAUUUUACAAAAAAUUCUCAGAAGUUGCAAACUUCCGACGCGUGUCUCGAAUUUUCCGAGAAACAAUGACACUAUUUUAAAUAAGCGUGGGGUGAUCUUACUUACAUUUCUCUACAAAGGAGAUGGGUGAAUAUGAACAAAGUGAAAAAAGGAAUAAUUUUAGUAAUUUAAACUAAAGAGAGAAUUAAAGUGAGUUUAGUUUAGUUUGUUUUUUCAUGUAAAAAUAAUUUUUGAACAAAUAUUUGCUUUCAAAUUUUGCAAAACAAAACCAAGUAAAUAUAUCUAUGCGCAAAAAAGUGCAAGAUCGCCUUGGAUUAUAACGCCCACGCCUCAGAGGUCUGGGAACUAGUCUGAUGGAAAAACAUAAUCAUCAAAAUGGACAAGUGAACUUGGUUAUGACAGUUACCACAUCCUGAGUAUAACUUUACAGGGUUAGCUAGAGGACCUACUUCACCUGUGUCAAAACAACAUGAGUUUUGACGCCGUUUUUCAAAAUAAACAUUCGUGUAAUCUGUAUCUCAGGAAGGAAAUAUCAUGUUUGAACUUGUCAAAACGUAUAACAAUGUGCCCAGGCCUGCAAUGUGCCGUAAAUUGAAUUUAGAUUAAAAUAAUGAUAAUAAUAAUUGAUUCAUACUUGACAAAUACAAAAAUAACCACGACGUUUCAAACGAAGGCUCUUCCUAUUCCGAAGAAUGAAGAGGUGCUUCAGUUAUAAAGGAGCCUUACAUUGGAAUAAUCUUAGGUUUUCAAAACGAUUUUGAAACAAAAAUGAGUUGAAACUGGCUCGUUAGCCAUGCAAUUUGGCAAUGUAAAUAGUAUUCUGUAAAUAGUUUAUGGUCACGCCCCUCAUGGAAAUCAGCCGAAAGGUUGUUGGGCCAGCGUGAGAAAAUAAAGUCUAUGUAUGUAUGUAUGUAAGGCUGUCUGGGGCCCAAACCUAACCUAACCCUUAGGGGCCAUUCACAAAGGAUGUCCGAGCCGAGGGGGGGGGAGGGGUGUUUGGAAAAUCAGGACAAACUCGGACAUAGGGGGAGGGGGUUUUAGCAAUCCGGA